AUUCGAUUGAGAGUGUUCUGUGUUCCAUUUGUUUAUGUUUUUAUUCUUUGUUUAUAUAAUUUAUAACCUAAACCUAGACAGUUUUGUUUUUAUUUUAAAUAAAACUGAAACUGUCUAAACUAAAAUGGAUAAUAUUCUUGAAGAACUUUUGUUUGGGGACGAAAUUAGCAAAUGCCGUUAUACAUUUAGCAGAUGUACCUACCUCAAAUUAUUCCAGAAGGAUGAGAUGAAAUUAAAUAUAUAUAAACCAUAAUUCAAUAUCCAAUUUAGAGAACAUUUUCGUAUGUCCAGAACUACUUUCCAGGAACUAUUUAAUUGUAUUGGUCAUAUCCACCAAUUUGAAAACAGAAUAAUUCUAUUGGAAAAAAUUAAUGUUUAUGAUGUGGAUGCUAAGUAAACCAGAUAAUUUGUUGCUGGGGAUACGUUUGGUUUGCCAAAGAGCUCUGGACAUAAGAUUUUCACCCAAAUAAUAUAGAAUUACAAAAAAUUGGAAAUAACUAAUCUUGAAUAUCAAUGUGUAUAUUGAGUUUAAUUUUAUUGUAAAUAUUCUAUAAUAUAAUUUUAUUGUAAAUAUUGUAUUAACACAUUUGUGGACACAUUUUCAUAUGCAGACAGUAAUUUCCCUUUGUAAGUACAUGCAUAUAUAGUCGUAUCUGCGAAUGGGUUAAUUGUAAAUCGUAAUCAAUAAAAAUUUUUUGUGAAUCAAUAAAAAACUGGUUUGUUUGAAAAUAAAUGUAGUACAAAUGUG